rnacentral:rRNA from 1 species
GACGAACGCUGGCGGCGUGCUUAACACAUGCAAGUCGAACGGAAAGGCCCUGCUUUUGUGGGGUGCUCGAGUGGCGAACGGGUGAGUAACACGUGAGUAACCUGCCCUUGACUUUGGGAUAACUUCAGGAAACUGGGGCUAAUACCGGAUAGGAGCUCCUGCUGCAUGGUGGGGGUUGGAAAGUUUCGGCGGUUGGGGAUGGACUCGCGGCUUAUCAGCUUGUUGGUGGGGUAGUGGCUUACCAAGGCUUUGACGGGUAGCCGGCCUGAGAGGGUGACCGGCCACAUUGGGACUGAGAUACGGCCCAGACUGCUACGGGAGGCAGCAGUGGGGAAUAUUGCACAAUGGGCGGAGGCCUGAUGCAGCAACGCCGCGUGCGGGAUGACGGCCUUCGGGUUGUAAACCGCUUUCGCCUGUGACGAAGCGUGAGUGACGGUAAUGGGUAAAGAAGCACCGGCUAACUACGUG